rnacentral:rRNA from 1 species
GGAAAGAUGAAAAGAACUUUGAAAAGAGAGUUAAAAAGUACGUGAAAUUGUUGAAAGGGAAACGUUUGAAGUUAGUGGAACUGGCACAAAUUCAGCCUACGCAUCAAGGCAAUUAGCGCACUUUGCGAGCCUAAUGUGGGGUGAACUUUUGUAUCAGCUGGUUAACAUCAAUUUUGACCGUCAUGAAAAGGCUAAAUGGGAUGUGGCGAUGUGGCGAUGUGUCUCCUUCGUGAGUGCUGCAACCGUUACAACCUUUAGCGGAAUGAUGUGGCGGUCGGGAUUGAGGAUUGCAACAAAUACCUUUAGGGCUGUGCUAGCUCGUCUGGCCACUCCUCUUUGGAUGUGUUCCGCCAAUUAGGAUGGGUAGUCGGAUUGGUGCAAAUUCGUUAAGGAUGUUAACGAAAUGGCUUUAAACGACCCGUCUUGAAACACGGACCA